UUUCAAAUAAAUUGUUCAAAAUUGUUUACAAUGUAGCAAAUAACGUUUGAGCAGAAUUAUUAGCAAUAUAAACAUUGUUUUUGAUUGAAAAAUGACUAAAAACAGUGGAAAAAUCUCAAAAUAAUUGAAAAAACUUUCAAAAAAAAAAUUGUUCGAAGUCGUACCGAUAAAUCGAAAAACUAAUGAUGCCAAUGGAUUUCUCGGGUCCGAAAUAGGGCGAAACAGUUAAUCGCGCGCCUGUCUCAAAAAUUUUUUUCAAAAAACUUGCACAGUGUUAUGGAUGCUUUGCAAGCAAAGAGCAAGGAACGUCAGUGGCAAAAGUAUUGGAUGAUACUCGAUUGAUUGAGGGAAUAGAAGGCGUGCGGAGGCUAAUCCUUGGGCAGAUCAUGUUCAAGAGAAACCAAAUCGAUUGAAGUUAGUUGUAGAUGUGUCUGGUUCCAUGUAGAGAUUUAAUGGCUACGAUCAACGGCUGGACUGAGAAUUAGAAGCUGUUGUCAUGGUAAUGGAGGCCUUCGAAGGAUACGAAAAGAAAAUCAUUUACGAUAUUGUUGGUCACAGUGGUGAGCGAUGGGAAGUUCCUUUCGUUUUAGCUGGAAAACCACCAGCUACAGACAAGAAG